AUUGAACGCUGGCGGCAGGCUUAACACAUGCAAGUCGAGCGGGGUGAUGGUGCUUGCACUAUCACUUAGCGGCGGACGGGUGAGUAAUGCUUAGGAAUCUGCCUAUUAGUGGGGGACAACAUUCCGAAAGGAAUGCUAAUACCGCAUACGUCCUACGGGAGAAAGCAGGGGAUCUUCGGACCUUGCGCUAAUAGAUGAGCCUAAGUCGGAUUAGCUAGUUGGUGGGGUAAAGGCCUACCAAGGCGACGAUCUGUAGCGGGUCUGAGAGGAUGAUCCGCCACACUGGGACUGAGACACGGCCCAGACUCCUACGGGAGGCAGCAGUGGGGAAUAUUGGACAAUGGGGGAAACCCUGAUCCAGCCAUGCCGCGUGUGUGAAGAAGGCCUUAUGGUUGUAAAGCACUUUAAGCGAGGAGGAGGCUCUUUUGGUUAAUACCCAAGAUGAGUGGACGUUACUCGCAGAAUAAGCACCGGCUAACUCUGUGCCAGCCGCCGCCGUAA
rnacentral:rRNA from 1 species